rnacentral:rRNA from 1 species
GACGAACGCUGGCGGCGUGCUUAACACAUGCAAGUCGAACGAGACGAUUGAAAGCUUGCUUUCGAAAGUCGAGUGGCAAACGGGUGAGUAACGCGUAGACAACCUGCCUUUGAGAUGGGGACAACAGUUCGAAAGGACUGCUAAUACCGAAUGUUGUAUAUUUUCCACAUGGAAGAUAUAUUAAAGAUGGCCUCUAUUUAUAAGCUAUCGCUCAAAGAUGUGUCUGCGUCUGAUUAGCUGGUUGGUGGGGUAACGGCCUACCAAGGCGACGAUCAGUAGCCGGUCUGAGAGGAUGAACGGCCACAUUGGGACUGAGACACGGCCCAGACUCCUACGGGAGGCAGCAGUGGGGAAUCUUCCACAAUGGACGAAAGUCUGAUGGAGCAACGCCGCGUGAGUGAAGAAGGGUUUCGGCUCGUAAAGCUCUGUUGUCGGGGGCGAAUGUGCAGUAUGGGAAUAAAGUACUGCAAUGACGGUACCUGACGAGGAAGCCACGGCUAACUACGUGCCAGCAGCCGCGGUAA